UUUCCCCCGUUUGUUUUUCUCCUUUCUCAGCAGCCCGCCCUGCCGCCGCGCCAGGGAGAGCAGCCGCCCCGAUGCCCGAAGGUGCCGCCGGCCGCUCGCCCGGGGGGACGGCGGCGUGCCCCGCUGUCCCCGCACACACCGGUGUGUGCUUCUUCCUCACAGGGAAGAAGCCCCCAGCCCCUGGACAGGUCUGUCCGCGGCUCCGCGGCCACAAGGGAUGAGAUUGGAAAGUAAGCUGGGAAGGCAGAAGCAGAUUGUACUUCCUACAUUGAGAAACAUGGAUAGACUCAUCCUAUACACAACUGACAGAGGAUAGAGGCUGGGGAAACAGCUGAUUGUGAGUUUAUCUGGAAUUAACAGAAUUGUCUUUAGAGGCAGAGGGCCCAGAACAUGUUCUGGCAAAGGAAAAGGGAGAGAAAAAGACUUAAAUUCUUAGAGUGUGUGGAUACAUUCGGUUAGAAGAUGAACAUGAGAAGUCUGAGAAACAGACAUGGCACUACUUCAUGGGAAAAUAAGAGGCAACUUAACUGCUAUGAUGGACAAAAGAGGAUCAUUCUGCAUUAACUAAUUUGGUAGAGGAGAAGCAGCCUCUUGGUCUUAAACAAAUGAGAAUGGGAUUGCCCUUCUUGCUGUUGCUGCAGGCUCAUGAUCUGGACCCAAACCCAGGACUCGAGCAGGACUGAAGGACACAUGCAAGUGGGAAGAAGCUGGAUCAUCUUUCUUCAUCUGCUCACUGCCUUCACAGAAUUUGCAAGUGUGAAAAAGUAUUUCAUCCCUUUACAGGAUUAGGAUGCGGAUUUGCCUCUCCCCGAGGUGCUGCUGGCUGGUUCACUGCCUGCUGGAGGGUGUCUCUAAGACCUGACUUAACCUGAAGCAUGCACUUCCUCAGGAGGUCUGCAGCAGGGCUGGAGGACUGCAAACACUGCAUCCCUUCCCUCGUGUCACCUGCUGCCACAUGACUGCAGUGUUUGUGCUGUGCUCUCAGCUCCCUCACCCUGAAAUGUUCCUCCUGGCGGUUUGUAAGGAGCUACCAUGGAGCAGGCUUUGCUUUUGGUAGCAAUAUUCCUUGUUGCCAUGCCGUUCAUGAAGAUGAUGGCUUUAUCCUUGCCUUUAUUCCUUUAUUCCAUUGGGACCAGCUGCUCUACCCACAGGCACCAAAAGUGGCAAAUCUUCCAUAACCUUUUUUUAAUUUUCAAUUGAAGCUCUACAUCAUGUGAACUUCUUGGGGUUUUUUGAGAGGUAAAGACUUUUUUUUUCUUUUUUUCUUUUUUUUUUUUUUUUUUGAGAAACAGCACCAAAUAAAACCCCAAACACCACAGCCCAACAAACCCAAAACUAACAGGAAAAAAAUCAAAACCCACACAUUGAACCCAAGCUGGAGAAACAACUGCACUGUGUGACUGAUACAAUCCAUGGGAGUACAAAGCAUUCCAGUCUGAUCUUGCACAUCCACUCCCUAUGCCUAUUAAUAGCUUUUAGGCAUGGGCAUAGACAUGGAAAUGGACAAGAGUAGUUCACCAUGCAAACAUUUAUCUGGGAGCCAUACUGUUUUCUAGAACUAAAGAUUUCAGUGUGAUAAAGUGCACAUUUUAAAGCAUUGGUGGAGAUAGGGGGGAUGUAACUGCCCUUAAACUGAGGUUGGGUUAGGCAUUCUCACAUCUUGGAGUCUGCCAGUAAAUAGCAAAGUAUAUGAGCAAUGGAAAUAUGUCCUUCUUAAUCUGUAAAAAGAAAAAGACUGUUUUGAAAAUCCAUCAAUCUUUCAAAUCAUCUUAAGGCAUAUUGAUCCUGGAUCAUCACAGGGGAAUUCAACAGGGGUGUUCUUCUUAGUGAUCUAAAAACAUAAAUGUGGUUGAAUACAUGCAAAACUGUAUCUUAUUCCAGUUGUCUUUAUUACUGCAAUAAAUGAUACCAACUCUCUCUUCCUACA